GACGAACGCUGGCGGCGUGCUUAACACAUGCAAGUCGAACGAGGGAGAGAUGAGAAGCUUGCUUCUUAUCAAUUCGAGUGGCAAACGGGUGAGUAACGCGUAAGCAACCUGCCCUUCAGAGGGGGGACAACAGCUGGAAACGGCUGCUAAUACCGAAUACGUUCUUUUUGUCGCAUGGCAGAGGGAANAAAGGGAGGCUCUUCGGAGCUUUCGCUGAAGGGAGGGGCUUGCGUCUGAUUAGCUAGUUGGAGGGGUAACAGCCUACCAAGGCCACGAUCAGUAGCCGACCUGAGAGGGUGAUCGGCCACAUUGGAACUGAGACACGGUCCAAACUCCUACGGGAGGCAGCAGUGGGGAAUAUUGCACAAUGGGCGAAAGCCUGAUGCAGCAACGCCGCGUGAACGAUGAAGGUCUUCGGAUCGUAAAGUUCUGUCGCAGGGGAAGAUAAUGACGGUACCCUGUGAGGAAGCACCGGCUAACUACGUGCCAGCAGCC
rnacentral:rRNA from 1 species